rnacentral:misc_RNA from 1 species
GCAAACUUGGUCAUUUAGAGGAAGUAAAAGUCGUAACAAGGUUUCCGUAGGUGAACCUGCGGAAGGAUCAUUAUUGAAUAAUACUUGAUGGGUUGUAGCUGGUCUUUACAGACAUGUGCACGCCUGUCUUGAUUCUAUUCAUCCACCUGUGCACUCUUUGUAGUCUUUGAGGGCUGAACACGGCCAAUUGUCAGUCAAAAGGCUGGAUUAGAGGAAUAGCAUCUGCUUUCUUCAGUAGAAGCCUGUGGUCUCCCUUGGGGACUAUGUCUUUACUUCAUAAACCUGUGUAACAUAAUCUAGAAUGUAUUUAAUGGGCCGUUGUGUCCAUAAAAGCCUUAUACAACUUUCAGCAACGGAUCUCUUGGCUCUCGCAUCGAUGAAGAACGCAGC